CAAAGAAACGUAGGGUCAGCUAGUUUAGAUUAUAGACUCAGUGUUGUUUUAGAGGAUAUACGAAGGUAUGUUAUACAGCGUAUACCAAUUUACCAUAUGGUGAAUUAGCGUUUACUAUGUAACAAAUGUUAAUUAUUUUACAUGAUAAUUUUAAUGUUUUUAUUUUUGUCAGUUAUUAUGAAAACUGAACUAUCGAUAUUGAAUAAUCGAAAUUGGAUAAUUGGAUA